CGGCUUGACCGGGCUCAAAUAUUAUUUUAGUAAAAUAAACAAACUUUAUACGCCAAAACCAUUUUUGCCCUGGUUCAAAUCAGAUAAAAUAUAUUUAAAGUUAAAAAAAAAAAAAAAAUUGGAAUGGUGGUGGUUCCUCUGUUGUCUUCUUCACUCUUUGCCUCCGCCGGACCUGGAAUUCCACCGGACGUCCCUCAAUAAUCGCCGGCUGGAUAUCCUUCAUCGCCGGGUAAUUGACUGGAAUUUAUUUCUAUGAUUGCGUGAUUCUAUAAUUAUUUCGAUGGCAAUAAUGGAGUCUGGAAUUUAUUUCACAAGAUUAGCAUUCAUUCUUUCUUUUCUUUCUGGAGCUCCAUCGACCGUUAGUUAUUUCAAGAUUUCUGAAGGAUGUAGUUAUUCCAUUCAUGAUUAUCAUCAGAAUCUUGGUAUAAUUUGGAGCUUAUCUGUGGAUAUAGAUCCAUUAUCAAUGAACUGCAGAUCUUCUUUUGCGCGUGGGAACUAAUGUGGAUCUACCACAGUCUUUAGUGGAAAUGGUUACUCAUGGUGAUAGACAAAGAUCCGAUAAUUUUCGAUCCGGAUAAGUGAGCUGUAAAUUAAACAGGAAACUGUAGUCUCAUUUCCCCUGUAUAAUGAGGCUCGUAAAUUUUAUCACCAUGAGGAGAAGAUGAUUCAGACAGCUAUACAUGCAUUAACUCGGCAUAUACAAUGAGAGACACGCACUCAAUGAAGAGAAAAGAACUACUUCUGGAAAUUGAUAAAAUUGUUGAUGAUCUAUACUACUUUAAGGACAUAAUUAAGUUAUUGGCGUAAAAGGCAUAAUCAAUUCUGUGGUUGCUAUAUUCUAUAUCCUUGUAUGUAUUCAAGCGUGAAGGAGAAGAUAACAUCAUCUACCCUAGUGAUGAAGCACAUGCACGAGUACAAACAGUCAACGUGAAACUUGUGGAGAUCCUGUUUGACCAUUCUGCUUGGGGAUAGUUUCUAACUCGACUAUAAUAAACAUCUAGCUAAAAAGGAGAGGCUUUUUACAUUUUUUAGUUAUUUGAUUUUUUUUUUCCCAAAAAUGUUGUAGAAAAUGCCUAGAAUUGUCUUGUGCAUUGUACUAUUACCAAUUUUUCCGUGAUGCAGGAGUGGAAUACUUAGAUUGUAUUUUUUCCACAAUCUGAUUGAAAAACUUUGUUUCUUAUGGUCAA